UACUACCUCCAUGACCGGGACAACUGGCCGAAAGGCUUGCUAAUACCGGAUAAGCCCACGGGGUCUUCGGACUCUGAGGGAAAAAGGCGGCCUCUGUAUACAAGCUGUCACAAGGAGAUGAGUCCGCGGCCCAUCAGCUAGUUGGCGGGGUAAAGGCCCACCAAGGCAACGACGGGUAGCUGGUCUGAGAGGAUGAUCAGCCACACUGGAACUGAGACACGGUCCAG
rnacentral:rRNA from 1 species